UGGGGAAUUUUGCGCAAUGGGCUAACGCCUGACGCAGCAACGCCGCGUGGAGGAUGAAGGUCUUUGGAUUGUAAACUCCUGUCAGCGGGGAAAAAGCAACCGGACCUCAUACGUACGGAAGUUGAUUGUACCCGCAGAGGAAGCCCCGGCUAACUCUGUGCCAGCAGCCGCGGUAAUACAGAGGGGGCAAGCGUUAUUCGGAAUUAUUGGGCGUAAAGGGCGCGUAGGCGGCUUGGCAAGUGGAAGGUGAAAUCCCUCGGCUUAACCGAGGAACUGCCCUCCAAACUGCUUUGCUUGAGGCCGGGAGAGGCGAGUGGAAUUCCCAGUGUAGCGGUGAAAUGCGUAGAUAUUGGGAGGAACACCAGUGGCGAAGGCGGCUCGCUGGACCGGUUCUGACGCUGAGGCGCGAAAGCGUGGGGAGCAAACGGGAUUAGAUACCCGUGUAGUCC
rnacentral:rRNA from 1 species